rnacentral:misc_RNA from 2 species
GUACCCUCAAGCUAUGCUUGGUGUUGGGUGAUUGUCCACUAGGACUCGCCUUAAAGACAUUGGCAGCCAGUAUUUUGGUAGAAAAGCGCAGCACAUUUUGCGAUUUUACUCCAGUAAUAUUAGCACCCAUUAAGCUCAAUUAUCAC